AAUUUCCCAUACUGUCCAGAGAGAGACACAAAUUUAUGCUAUUUUUCACCCUUUUGCUUCCUUUGCCUCUUCUAUGGCUGUUUGGAAAUCCAAGCCCCGCAUACCAUCCGUCACACUAUAUUGAUUGGGAGAUCAAAUGCUUAUACCCCAACUUGGAAGAUAUCCUUUGCAAGGAACACUUAAAGGUGAACAUUUAAUGAACAAAUGAUCUCCUGCAAGGAUUAAUGUAGUGCCUAUUCUGCUGGUGCUUGUAACUAUUUGAAAGUGCUCUGAAAGCAAGAGACAAGGUAGGGACCACAAUCAAAUACGUACUAAAGGGACCUGGACAUGACAAUUAA
rnacentral:misc_RNA from 1 species